AUUGAACGCUGGCGGCAUGCUUUACACAUGCAAGUCGAACGGCAGCACAGGGAGCUUGCUCCUGGAAAUUGAGUGGCGAACGGGUGAGUAACACGUGGGUAACCUGCCCAAAAGAGGGGGAUAACACUUGGAAACAGGUGCUAAUACCGCAUAACCAUGAUGACCGCAUGGUCAUUAUGUAAAAGAUGGUUUCGGCUAUCACUUUUGGAUGGACCCGCGGCGUAUUAACUUGUUGGUGGGGUAACGGCCUACCAAGGUAAUGAUACGUAGCCGAACUGAGAGGUUGAUCGGCCACAUUGGGACUGAGACACGGCCCAAACUCCUACGGGAGGCAGCAGUAGGGAAUCUUCCACAAUGGGCGCAAGCCUGAUGGAGCAACGCCGCGUGAGUGAAGAAGGUCUUCGGAUCGUAAAACUCUGUUGUUAGAGAAGAACAUGCGAGAGAGUAACUGUUCUUGUAUUGACGGUAUCUAACCAGAAAGCCACGGCUAACUACGUGCC
rnacentral:rRNA from 1 species